UCAUUGUUCAAAGAAAUAAAAGAAAAUUCAGGUAGAGAGUAUUUCAGGUAACAUCUGAAUGUCUGGGAUAGAAAAUGAAGACAUAGUAAACCCUCACUUAUAUUUCAUGUCUCAAAAAAUCCAUUUUGUUAGAAAGGGAAGAAUCAAAUUAAGGUAUAAGAUAGGGAAAGAAAUCACUUCCAAUUUUUCCAGGUCCUAAAAGAGUAUNNNNNNNNNNNNNNNNNNNNNNNNNNAUUUAAUUUUUUUCAAUAAUUGUUUUGCUAUUUUCAUAUCUAUAAAGUUUUAUUUGUUUUAUGAAGGACUAGUUCAAUUUGUAAAUAUAGAUUGAAAAAAUAAAAUUUUUUUCAAUUGUACUUAUGAUCUUAGUUUAUUUAUAUUCAAUUGGAUUCAUUGAUUUGUGGUGUUUUUUAAGUCAGAUUUACAUUUUAAGAAAUGAAUAAUUUUUUAUUUUCUUCUGCAUAGUCAAGACGUUGUCAGCAGAGGGAAGAAGUUUGAAAUAUGGCAUUUGAAAGUAGCCCCUUCCAAAGUUGUCACUAACAUUGUGUUUCAGACGGAAGGAUCUUGGUGACAGGGUCUUAGAGAGUAGGGGAAUGCCCUGAGUAACAAUGCUUGGGGGGUUCUCCCAAGAAGGUCAGAAGCACUCAGUGUGUAAUAAGCAGGGGGCACUACAGCAGCCAUUAUCUUCCCUCCGACAGAGCGGCUCACUGACCUGGCAUGCUGGCAAAUGGAGAGGAAAACUCUGCUCUGAGAUGUAAAUGCCCCAUCCAGGUCCCUCAUGAAUAUCUUGUCUCCAGGAUUCAAGCAAGUGACCUGGAAAACAAGGUUCCUCCCCAAUCAAAAUGACAGGCAGAGCUGGUUUCCUGUUAGGAAGACUAUGAGAUUUUGGGAUUAUCUUCCAAAAGAUUUGCUUAUCAUGUGGAAGUUUUCAGGCUCCACCAUGGGAUCUGAGACUGACUGGUUUUGAUGUUUUGGAGUUGUUAUGAGCCAGUUUUGGAAAACUACAAUUUAAAUUUGCACACAGAGCUUAGACAGAAUGAAUAUGUUAAUGAGUUCCAGCCAUGGAUUGCACACUCAAAUUAUCAUCAAUUGUGCAUGAAAUUUUUCCAGGCUAUUUGUUCUGAAAAUAAGUACUAAAUUAUGCAUUCAACUUAGAUUCAGGCAUAAAAUAGGUUUUCACAAAUAUUUUCAGAUGGCAAUUUUUGUGUGUGCAAAUACUAUACAAUCUUAUAUGGCCUUUUCAUUUUACAACAUUAAAAUCAACAUACGAGUGAAUUCAUUGACACAAAAGCACAGACAGAAUUUUUGCCACUCUUAAAUUAUACCUUGGAAUAAUAAAAUUCACUAUUGUCUCUUAAAACUACCAUAAACUGUCUUCUAUUCACUGCUAUUUUGCUAUUGAAUGUACCUUCUAUCUAAGGAAACAACAGUUAAGCAUUCAUUUUUAGUAAGCAUUAUAGUAGCAAAAUUGAGUUUCUCUGAAUUUUUCAUUCAGAUUUUGAAAAGACUUUAACUUGUUAAAACUACAUUUAUCUUCUUGAUUUCUACAACAAAAUAACAGAUUUAGGUUAAAAGAUAAUUCUUAUUUAUAAUUAUAGCAACAUUUAAUUGUUAGAAGAAUAAUAAGGCAAAUGAGUGACUUACAUUCUGUGGCCUAGCACUAAAAUUUUCCUUAUCCAAGACUGUUGAUUUUACUAAUGAACUUAUUAAUUCAUCUUUACCAAAUAAUAAAAAGUCCAGCUAGCUGUUUGCAAGGCAUUCUUUAUUGUGCCUCACAAGGAUCAGGUUAGAGAAAAUAUUUUCAUGUGGGGUUAAGGAAACUAAGCAUGAGCUUGAAGGAGUCUUGUUUCUUCUCCAUUCCUGCCUCAAUUGUGCCUUUAAGAAAGGGGACAGAAGUUGAACAGUCGAAGUUCCAGCUGAGCAGAUGAAGGGGAGCAAAGACUUGUGGUGUGAGCCAAGAGUGGGAUAUCUGUAGUAAGAAAAUGAACUGUGUGUUUUCUUGGAGCUACAGACCUCACAUACUCACUUUUUUGGUAUCUGAACUGGCCUCCAUUACAGCUUAGGAGUUUUGCCAAGAGAAUACACUUGUCAUAGCAAACACUCUCUUCCAACANNNNNNNNNNNNNNNNNNNNNNNNNCAUCACCAGAUGGUCAAUACUGAAAUCAAAUUGAUUAUAUUCUUUGCAGUUGAAGAUAGAGAAGCUCUAUACAGUUAGCAAAAACAGUACUAGGACCUGACUGUGGCUCAGAUCAUGAACUCCUUAUCGAAAAAUUCAGACUUAAAUUGAAGAGAGUAGAGAAAGCCACUAGGCCAUUCAGUUCAGUUCAGUUCAGUUCAGUCGCUCAGUCAUGUACGACUCUUUG
rnacentral:lncRNA from 1 species